rnacentral:rRNA from 1 species
GAUGAACGCUGGCGGCGUGCCUAAUACAUGCAAGUCGAGCGAACAGACGAGGAGCUUGCUCCUCUGACGUUAGCGGCGGACGGGAGAGUAACACGUGGAUAACCUACCUAUAAGACUGGGAUAACUUCGGGAAACCGGAGCUAAUACCGGAUCAUAUAUUGAACCGCAUGGUUCAAUAGUGAAAGACGGUUUUGCUGUCACUUAUAGAUGGAUCCGCGCCGCAUUAGUUAGUUGGUAAGGUAACGGCUUACCAAGGCAACGAUGCGUAGCCGACCUGAGAGGGUGAUCGGCCACACUGGAACUGAGACACGGUCCAGACUCCUACGGGAGGCAGCAGUAGGGAAUCUUCCGCAAUGGGCGAAAGCUUGACGGAGCAACGCCGCGUGAGUGAUGAAGGUCUUCGGAUCGUAAAACUCUGUUAUUAGGGAAGAACAAAUGUGUAAGUAACUAUGCACGUCUUGACGGUACCUAAUCAGAAAGCCACGGCUAACUACGUG